UUGCAUCGAUUGAGAACGCAGCGAAAUGCGAUACGUAGUGUGAAUUGCAGAAUUCCGCGAAUCAUCGAGUCUUUGAACGCAAGUUGCGCCCGAGGCUCGUCCGAGGGCAUUUCCGUUAGAGCGUCACC
rnacentral:rRNA from 1 species